AAGUCGUAACAAGGUCUCCGUAGGUGAACCUGCGGAGGGAUCAUUACUGAGUGCGGGCGCUAGACGCCCAACCGUCCAACCCUUAUGUUGAUCGAACCUCAUUUUGCCUCGGGGGCAGACCCGGCGCCGCGUCCCCCGACGGAACAUCAACACUCUGCAUCUCUGUAGCGUCGGAGUGACUUAACUGAAAUGAAUCAAAACUUUUAACAACGGAUCUCUUGGUUCUGGCAUCGAUGAAGAACGCAGCGAAAUGCGAUAAGUAAUGUGAAUUGCAGAAUUCAGUGAAUCAUCGAAUCUUUGAACGCACAUUGCGCCCUUUGGCAUUCCGAGGGGCAUGCCCGUUCGAGCGUCAUUAAACCCACUCAAGCCUGGCUUGGUAUUGGGCGACGGGGACUCCCCGCGCCUCCAUUUCGCCGGCUGGCCGUCGUUUGACUUAGCGUUGUGACACAUGUCGCUGAUGAAAUUGAUGGUUGCGCCGUUAGAAUUCUCUUGAAUAUCAAUCGAUAUUCAGUAAAGGUUGACCUCGGAUCGGGUAGGAAUACCCGCUGAACUUAA
rnacentral:rRNA from 1 species